CCCAAAAGCAACCCGAUAAAAUUCCUGAAACAAACCUAAUUAAAAAACCUCUCUUUCUUCCCCAAAAGCAAACUCGUUAAAACUCCUCAAAAAAAUAUUUUGCUAGCAGACUAAAGAAUCAACAAAGAAACAACAAAUCAAGCAAAACAACGCUGACCCAAGCACGACCAUGGGUGUUCCUCUCUCAAACGCAGAACCAAGCUCGACCAUGGGUGCCAACGUUUUCAAUCUUCGACUUGGCCGCCAUAUCAGAUCAUUCUCUCUAGGGAAACACUAAUAGAAAAUCAAUUUCUACAGGUUUUGUAAGAAAAUAUUGUGGAUAUGAAUGGGUUUUGUAGUGGAGAUAGUAUUGAAGAGCCUCCCAACCCUCAAAAUCUGACAACAAUCAUACAGGAAGGGGUUACUUAGUAUGUGGUUUGACCUAUAAAACUUCAAUGCUGCUAUAUCCUCCUCCUCUCAGGUAUAGAAUUCAAAAGCAAUGUGCAACUCACACUAACAUUUGUACUCAAGGAAAACCAAAGGACAUAUUCAGUGUCUACUACGAAGCAACAAAGGAAGAAAAUACAAAAAAACACUUUAAAGUUGUCUUUCGAUUUAUUUUAAAUAUUGAUUAAGUAGUUCUUUAAAUUUGUGUUUCAUACAUUUUAUGGAUAAUUGAGGAUGUUAAAGAUUUAAUUCUUCAUUUUAUUUUAAACUUAUGUUUGAUUUCUA